AGAUCGGUCUUGCUAUAUGGCCCUGGCUUGAUAGCAGCUUUGUCAUCAAAUGAUCUGCCUUCCACAUCAGUAGCUGAAACAACAGUCCCGGACCCCAGGCCAUAGAACAGAUGCUGCCCACUGUUAGGGUUUGUCUUUCCGGCUCAGCUAACCCAGUCUAGAAACGUCCUCACAGGUGUUUCGUUGUACUGGGACUUACAGUCUUUGACAUGGUUGCUUCAGCAUUAUUGGAGUCUUGAGAGACUGGUAACAAAUUGACUUCAGCUUCGUGAGAGACUGAGUGUGGUGAGAAGGCAAACAUUGUUGUUUUCAGCUGUGAGUUUGGGGAUAUUAUGUUCUGUGGCAAUAGAUAAUUAGCACUAUUUGAGUCAAGUCAGAUGUUAAAAUCCUGAAGAACAAACACACUUAUAGUCCUUCUUAUAUCCCCAAGAUACAAGAUGUACACUGAGUACAGUGUACUGAGAACACAGCCUCUGGUUAUAGGAGAAAAGAUCAGAAUCUGGGCUGGGGAGAUGAUUCAGUCCAUGUGACAGUUAAUAUUGCCAGUUUGACAAGAUCUAAAGUCAACUAGGAUAUAAGCCUCUGGGCAUGCCUGAGAGAGAGUUUGUAGAUUGGGUUCACUGAGGUGGGAAGACCCAUCUUAACUCUUAGCUACACCAUCCCAUGGCUGGAGUCAUAGACAAUAAAAAUGAGAGAGAGAGAGAGAGAGAGAGAGGGAG